rnacentral:rRNA from 1 species
GAUGAACGCUGGCGGCGUGCCUAAUACAUGCAAGUCGAGCGAACAGACGAGGAGCUUGCUCCUCUGACGUUAGCGGCGGACGGGUGAGUAACACGUGGAUAACCUACCUAUAAGACUGGGAUAACUUCGGGAAACCGGAGCUAAUACCGGAUAAUAUAUUGAACCGCAUGGUUCAAUAGUGAAAGACGGUUUUGCUGUCACUUAUAGAUGGAUCCGCGCCGCAUUAGCUAGUUGGUAAGGUAACGGCUUACCAAGGCGACGAUGCGUAGCCGACCUGAGAGUGUGAUCGGCCACGCUGGAACUGAGACACGGUCCAGACUCCUACGGGAGGCAGCAGUAGGGAAUCUGCCGCAAUGGGCGAAAGCCUGACGGAGCAACGCAGCGUGAGUGAUGAAGGUCUUCGGAUCGUAAAACUCUGUUAUUAGGGAAGAACAAAUGUGUAAGUAACUAUGCACGUCUUGACGGUACCUAAUCAGAAAGCCACGGCUAACUACGUG